GUAGUACAUGUUAUAAACCACUGUACGUAUGGUUACUGUAUGUAACUUACUAAAACAUACAUAACAUGACUUAACUUUGAUACUUUUUUGGUACAUUCCAGAAAACCAGGACCCCCUCCAUGAUGCAGGCUAUGGGGCCACAUAAAACUUUGUCCAGGGUUACUACAUAACAUAGCACGACAACUGUAAACUAUGUACUACUGUACUAAAGAACCCCCUGAAUGAUGUAGGCUAUGGGGCCACAUAAGACUUUGUCCAUCCAGGGUUACAUUGAACGAGAACUUUAAACUAAAGAACCCCCUGAAUGAUGUAGGCUAUGGGGCCACAUAAGACUUUGUGCAUCCAGGGUUACAUAGCAGGACAACUUUAAACUAAAAAGCUACCAGACUGGGAUUUUAGUGUACUCCAGGAUCUAACAAAGUGUGCAAUGCAUGUGUAUACGUAUAGUGACAGUGUUUAGUGUAUACCCUAAGGAUUAAGUGUAGUGUACAUUGUGCUUUUUAGUGUCACAAGAGUUUAAUAAAGAAUUAUACCUUCAAGAACCAUCCUUUGCCAUUGGAAUAACCACACUACACAUCAUGCAAUCUACUUGCAUGUCACACAGGUAAGGUCUCUAACUUUUUCUUAGUUUAAGGCAUAUUUCCAAGUGUCGUUCCGGCUUACGACGAUUUUCGGCUUACGACGCGCCUCAAGAACGGAACCCCCGUCGUAAC